rnacentral:lncRNA from 10 species
CAAAAGCUCUGGAACUCAUCUUUAGAGGACAUUACAAACUCAAGAAGUCACACAAUCAGCACACAAUGUCCAUCUGCUUCUCAUUGGUGGUGCUAAUUUUGAGGACCCGCUCAAGAUGUUGCUGAGAUUCAUCCAAUAUAUAGUAUACUAAGACAGUGUACAUAGUAUCCCACUGUUCAGGUGCCACUUUUUCCCCCUCAAGACUAAUGAAAAGUCUAGGGAAGCAUUUUGAGGUCAUAAAAAUACCCUGCUCAUCAUCGAACUUUCCCCCUAGAUUUAGCAUCCAUUGACAGACCUUUGCCCUAACUGGUCUUUACCAAAAUGGUUGCAAAAUAGUGAUUUUCCAACUCCAUCACUCCCUCCUCAUUUGCCAGUCAGCACUCCAUCAUACACUGCACUCUUCUCACCCACUGACUUACGUAUCUGGUUCAUCUGUUUGGGAUUUGUUUAGUUAUUUAUUAUCAGUAAGGACAUGUGGAUUUCUGUUUUAUUCAACAAGUUACAAACCAUUAUUGUCAUUCCUUAUUUUGAGGCUCAAAUUGUCCCAGAUUUGACCAAUGAGAGCCUCUUCAUGCUGAUCCUGUGUCCUUUUGACAUGACCACAUUAUUGUUUUGAGCACUUCCUUAGUUUCUGGCACAAAAUAUUCCAAGCUUAUUAUUAUUAUUGUCAUCAUCAUUAUUAUUAUUUGGUACCUUCUCUGCUGCAGCCCUGGAAUAAGCAAUUACUCUAAGGGUCCCUGGCUCCUCUUAGUGGGGAGUGUUUUUUAGAAGCCAGAAUCUGGGUACUGGAUGGGCUCAUUGCUACUUGGGUGCCACUGCUUAUAGGUCCUUUAGAAAGACAGAGUUGGGAUUUUCCAAUCAAGUCUAAUCCCAUAGGCAGAUCCCCUGUCUUCAGCAUUUACACAUUUGCCCAAUACCUCCAUACUCACAAAAUGGAUUCAGAAUUGCUGUAACCAUAUUACCACAAAUGACACCAAAUGGAGUUUAGAAUUUAUUUGCAGUUCUCUUUUCCUCCCUAGAUUGAGGGGUAGAGAGUGAAAGUAUUGUGUUCAAAAUUUAAUAUUGUGUGUACUACUAUAUUCUAAAGUUUUUUU